GUGAGGAAUAUUGCGCAAUGGAGGCAACUCUGACGCAGCCAUGCCGCGUGCAGGAAGAAGGCGCUACGCGUUGUAAACUGCUUUUAACCGGGAAGAAACCCCAGGACGUGUCCUGGGUUGACGGUACCGGAGGAAUAAGCACCGGCUAACUUCGUGCCAGCAGCCGCGGUAAUACGAAGGGUGCAAGCGUUAUCCGGAUUCAUUGGGUUUAAAGGGUGCGUAGGCGGAGCGUUAAGUCAGUGGUGAAAUCCUGCAGCUUAACUGUAGACUUGCCAUUGAUACUGGCGCUCUUGAGUGCGCUUGAAGUGGGCGGAAUGUGCCGUGUAGCGGUGCAAUGCUUAGAUAUGGCACAGAACACCAAUUGCGAAGGCAGCUCACUAAGGCGAUACUGACGCUGAGGCACGAAAGCGUGGGGAUCGAACAGGAUUAGAUACCCCAGUAGUCC
rnacentral:rRNA from 1 species